UACGGAGGGGGUUAGCGUUGUUCGGAAUUACUGGGCGUAAAGCGCGCGUAGGCGGAUUGGAAAGUUGGGGGGUGAAAUCCCAGGGGCUCAACCCUGGAACUGCCUCCAAAAACUCCCAGUCUUGAGUUCGAGAGAGGUGAGUGGAAUUCCGAGUGUAGAGGUGAAAUUCGUAGAUAUUCGGAGGAACACCAGUGGCGAAGGCGGCUCACUGGCUCGAUACUGACGCUGAGGUGCGAAAAGUGUGGGGGAGCAAAACAGGAUUAGAUACCCCGGGUAGUCC
rnacentral:rRNA from 1 species